UACGUAGGAAGCGAGCGUUGUCCGGAAUCAUUGGGCGUAAAGAGCGUGUAGGCGGCCCGGUAAGUCCGCUGUAAAAGUCAAAGGCUUAACCUUUGAAUGUCAGUGGAUACUGCCGGGCUAGAGUCCGGAAGAGGCGAGUGGAACUCCUGGUGUAGCGGUGGAAUGCGCAGAUAUCAGGAAGAACACCAACGGCGAAGGCAGCUCGCUAGGACGGUACUGACGCUGAGACGCGAAAGCGUGGGUAGCAAACAGG
rnacentral:rRNA from 1 species